GAAAAUCACCGUACCAUGAUCGGAGGUCUCUUUUACAUUUAAAUGUCGUCUUUACACACUCAUGCAAUGCGUUUUUCAACAUUUAUUGAGUUGAAUGCUGUUAAAACGUCUUUCAAGCGAAGACUGUGUCAAGAUUAGUUAGUAUGCAAGAAGAACAACACAAAGUAUCUAAUACUUUAUCACAUUCAGUUUUCAUUGUGAAACAUGCAGCUGGUAAAUUGGAGAAGAAACAAACGUUACAAAAAUGCAUUCCUGAAGUGGCAAGAAAAUUGAAAAGAUUUCAUGGAAGGAAAACUUUUACUAGAGCACCUGUUAGGAGGGGUUGUUAUUUUAUGACAGAGUCAGGAGGGGGUGAAUGCUUUAACAAAAGUAAUUUAGAGGAAGGAUGGUUACUUCAUAAGUUGAAGAAGUUAUGAAAUAUGUCCUUUGUAAUCAUUGGUUACCUUUUGUUUGUCUUUGUUCUCCUGUUCAUGAAUGAUAUGAUCAUUAAAUGAUUGGGGUUAGCAGUUGCAUCAUAAUUGGUUAUUUCAAAAGUUAGAAAGAUUGAGUCACCAAAGACAAAGAAAAAUCUACUUAAAAUUUACAAUAUUUUGAUGCUAUGCUGUACCUAUGUGAUUUGUCAUUUUGAAUGCCUCCUGUGGAAACAUACUGGCGUUUAACUGAGUGUGUAGUCUUUCCUUGUUAUGUAUUUACUGUGGUCUUUGGUUAUAUAUUACUGGCUGUUGGUGUUCUUGAAGAAUGGGACCUGUAUAUUUGUUAGCUUAGGACUAGUUUUUCUUGAUUAAAACAUGAUCAUGAUAAUAACAUUUGAAAUUUAUCGUUGAUCAUUUGAAAUUUAUCGUUGAUCAUUUGAAAUUUAUCGUUGAUCAUUUGUAAAAGAAAGAGGGAAUUUAUGUUUCAGUACCUGGAGCUUUGAUUGUACAUAAUGACUUGUUGCUAUUGUCCAUGGCUGGUAUUCUUGGGUUCUGAGAAAUGUUAAAAUGUUAUCACUAGUGAUGCACCAAUAUACAAAUUUAGCGAUAUACCAAUUGGCAGAUAUUAAAAUGCCGAUAUUGUGCCGAUA